GCCUCUUUCCUGCUUCUCAGAGAAUUUUUAGUUGUUUUAUGAAAGGUUCAGCAACUUUUUCAAGAAGACCAAGGUGUUCCUCCACUCAAAUAAUAACAAUUAAGAACACUUGGCUGUGGAGAGUAGGAAGUGUGGGUUAAAGUAUCUCCAGGGCAAAGAGUUGACAGCAGAUCUGCAGUUGUGAAAAGGAAAGGUUCUGUUGGCUUGGGAACGUGAACUUGUUACAGGAGGUACCAGACAGCCCACACACGGCAGCCACCUGGGAAUCAGAAGGUGAAAGCAGGUUCAUCUGGUGUCCCUUGAAAAUGCCACGUCAAUGUGGCAUUGGCUUGAGGAGGUGGAAAGUAGGAGCUCACUCAGGUCAAAAGCUGGGUCAAAGGGUUACCUUGGUUUUAUAUGAGCUUGCUAAGCCUUGAAAAGCAAAUUGCAGGUCUAGUGGGUAAGAGCAUCUCAGUGCCUGCAAUAUACUCCAU
rnacentral:lncRNA from 1 species